rnacentral:rRNA from 1 species
GAUGAACGCUGGCGGUGUGCCUAAUACAUGCAAGUCGAGCGAACAGACGAGGAGCUUACUCCUCUGACGUUAGCGGCGGACGGGUGAGUAACACGUGGAUAACCUACCUAUAAGACUAGGAUAACUUCGGGAAACCGGAGCUAAUACCGGAUAACAUGUUGAACCGCAUGGUUCAACAGUGAAAGACGGUCUUGCUGUCACUUAUAGAUGGAUCCGCGUCGCAUUAGCUAGUUGGUAAGGUAACGGCUUACCAAGGCAACGAUGCGUAGCCGACCUGAGAGGGUGAUCGGCCACACUGGAACUGAGACACGGUCCAGACUCCUACGGGAGGCAGCAGUAGGGAAUCUUCCGCAAAGGGCGAAAGCCUGACGGAGCAACGCCGCGUGAGUGAAGAAGGUCUUCGGAUCGUAAAACUCUGUUAUUAGGGAAGAACAAAUGUGUAAGUAACUAUGCACGUCUUGACGGUACCUAAUCAGAAAGCCACGGCUAACUACGUG